rnacentral:rRNA from 1 species
UACGUAGGGGGCAAGCGUUGUCCGGAUUUAUUGGGCGUAAAGAGCGCGUAGGCGGCUUGGUAGGUCCAUUGUGAAAACUCGAGGCUCAACCUCGAGACGCCGGUGGAAACCAUCAGGCUAGAGUCCGGAAGAGGAGAGUGGAAUUCCUGGUGUAGCGGUGAAAUGCGCAGAUAUCAGGAAGAACACCCGUGGCUAAGGCGGCUCUCUAGUACGGUACUGACGCUGAGACGCGAAAGCGUGGGGAGCGAACAGG